GUUGGAACUUGCUCUGAUGCUGCAGCCGCUGCUGGUAUCUGCCAGGGGGUGCCGUCACCUGUCACAAGGAUGCUCAGCAAGUAAAGGAAAGCAGGGUCUCUGCACCUGCACCUCCUCCCGGGACAGCUCCGCAGCCUGCAGCGCAAAACCCCGCCUCCUCCCUACCCCCUCCGCCCUCUCAGCAUCCCAGGGACCAAGGAUGCAGGGUUCUGACACGGAGCCUGCAGUCCCUGGGAGCUGGUCCAGGAUCCUGCCUGCAUGAGGGGAAAGGUUUGAACAAGGGAAGGAAGAGGAAAGAGAAGCAGAAGUCGUCGCUUUGAGUCGGGGGAGAGUGUGAGCCAAUAGCUGGUUCCUGGGUGGAGGAUGGAUAGAGAAGAGCAUAUACAGGUACCUGCUUCUGUCCUCCUCAACCUGGUCCACGUUGUCAAGCACCAGUCUGUCCCAGAUGUCCAGAGAGGAGACCCGCCACUGCAGGGGCUCACAGGAAGGACUCAGGUUCCCUCUGCAAGUGGGGAGCCAGAGACCCAAGAAGAUACUAGAUCAGCAUCUCUGCUGGUCUGCAUUCCCUGCUUCUCCUUAACACAGAAGCGUCCGUCCACACCCCAUGUCUUUCCAGUCAUAAAGCCAAGGUUCUGACACAGACAACACCAAGGAAUGCUUAUUUUGCUACUCUGAGAUUUAAAAGAUCUGGAAAUCACUUAAUGACUAAGAAAGACUUCAUCUAAGAAAACAAGAAGGAAGGGAGGGAGGGAAGGAGGAAAGACGGAGAGGAGGGGGGAGGAGGGAAGAUGGAGAGAGAGGGAAAGUAACUGAGAAGCAGAGGAAAGGGAUUUAUCAUACUUGGUAUCACAUAAAAAGCUAUGACCGCUUCCAAGACUUUGCUAUAACCAACUCAGUGUAUUUUUUAAGUGUUAAGUUCUGAUCUUUGUAAAAUAAGAGACUGGAGUAGAUAACCUCUGAAACUGAAUGAUUCUAUGUAAAGUUGAAAUUGUAAGUUAACGCCCACUCUCUCUUUAAAAGAUCACUCUAGUGGCGAAAGUCAAGCAAUAAAGUUGGCCAAGUGAUCAAGGGAACCAGCUGUACAUUUAAUGAAUAGGCUUGAGCGCCCACAGAAUUUUCCAGCAAAAGCUCAAAAAUUGUCUAAUGCAACCACCUCACUGUACAGAUGAAGACUGGGACAGAAUCAUACCGACAGUUAAUACCUGCCCAGUGCCAGGCAGGCGACCUGCUCAGGGUCACAGCAAGCCAGUGACACACCCAGAAUUAAAUGUGAUUCCCACUUUUUCCACAGUCUACUUGUUCUGACUCUUGGUGGAUUUAAAGAUGAAACCAUCA
rnacentral:lncRNA from 1 species